rnacentral:rRNA from 1 species
UACGGGGGGAGCAAGCGUUGUUCGGAUUUACUGGGCGUAAAGCGCGUGUAGGUGGCGCGCUAAGUCGGGUGUGAAAUUUCGGAGCUUAACUCCGAAACUGCAUUCGAUACUGGCGUGCUUGAGGACUGGAGAGGAGACUGGAAUUCAUGGUGUAGCAGUGAAAUGCGUAGAGAUCAUGAGGAAGACCAGUGGCGAAGGCGGGUCUCUGGACAGUUCCUGACACUGAGACACGAAGGCCAGGGGAGCAAACGGG